AUACGAAGGGGGCUAGCGUUGCUCGGAAUCACUGGGCGUAAAGGGCGCGUAGGCGGCCAUUCAAGUCGGGGGUGAAAGCCUGUGGCUCAACCACAGAAUUGCCUUCGAUACUGUUUGGCUUGAGUUUGGUAGAGGUUGGUGGAACUGCGAGUGUAGAGGUGAAAUUCGUAGAUAUUCGCAAGAACACCAGUGGCGAAGGCGGCCAACUGGACCAACACUGACGCUGAGGCGCGAAAGCGUGGGGAGCAAACAGGAUUAGAUACCCUGGUAGUCAAGGGCGAAUUCGC
rnacentral:rRNA from 1 species